CCAAUACUGGUGUGAAUCUUGAGACGAAACAAAGGCAGAGGCAAAAAUAAUUUGUUUAAAAAAUAAAAAAAAUAGUGUGAAUGCAAAAACACUCCAAAACAAAAGUUGUCAAACCAUCCAGUUAUUCAAUGUAAAACCACACUGCUGCUACUGAGCAGUAGAACAAGCGGGUUGGGCUGCAAUUUGCAGUGAAUUCAAUGGAAAUGUGACCACAAGAAGAAACAACAACUAGAGAGCAGCAGCAACCUCUGGAUAGUAUACUGGACGAUGACCAACCUCUGGAUGGUAUACCGGACGAUGACCAACCUCUGGAUGGUAUACCGGACGAUGACCAACCUCUGGAUGGUAUACCAGAUGAUGACCAACCUCUGGAUGGUAUACCGGACGAUGACCAUUUGGACAGUUCAGAUGAAGAACUGAUCACAAAUGGGGCAGUCAAGAAAUGGAACAUCAAGGCCACAGGACAUGACAUAAGCAGAGCUGUGGGAGACCACCUCAAGCCCCUGGUAGAGCCGGGGGUGGUGUUUACCACUCCACCACGCCUUCAGCAGGCUUGAAAAGUGGGAUUGAUCUGUUGGAUCCAUUUGUUUGCUUCAGUUCUCAGUAGUUGAAUCCUUUGACAUAUUGUUGAUUUCAACAUUUUUCAUCUUCAGCAAAUGCUUUGAAUUUAUACUGUUUUUCAUACUAAGAUGGAGCAAGAAUCUGUUGAUUGGUUGGUGAUUGGGUAAAUUUAUUUUGCAAUAUGUUCAAACCAAGCUUUAAUUAAACAGCACAUUUCAGACAUGGAUGCAACGCAAUGCAUUUCACAGAAAAACUAAACAAAUAAAAACAUACACAGCAAACAGAAGAAUAACAACUGAAAGACUGAUGAACAUUUCAAGGAAAUGCCUUUGAUUAACAAGAACUGGAUGCUACAACCCAAAAUAUAAGCUUGUUUUACUA